rnacentral:rRNA from 1 species
CCUACGGGAGGCAGCAGUGGGGAAUAUUGCGCAAUGGGCGGAAGCCUGACGCAGCGACGCCGCGUGGGGGAUGAAGCAUUUCGGUGUGUAAACCUCUUUCGCCAGGGACGAAGCGCAAGUGACGGUACCUGGAUAAGAAGCACCGGCCAACUACGUGCCAGCAGCCGCGGUAAUAAU